CUUCGGGUUGUAAAGCACUUUUAUCGGGAGCGAAAUACCAUUGGCUAAUAACCGAUGGGGCUGACGGUACCCGAGGAAUAAGCACCGGCUAACUUCGUGCCAGCAGCCGCGGUAAUACGAAGGGUGCAAGCGUUAAUCGGAAUUACUGGGCGUAAAGGGUGCGUAGGCGGUUAGUUAAGUCUGUUGUGAAAUCCCCGGGCUCAACCUGGGAAUGGCAAUGGAUACUGGCUAGCUAGAGUGUGUCAGAGGAUGGUGGAAUUUCCGGUGUAGCGGUGAAAUGCGUAGAGAUCGGAAGGAACAUCAGUGGCGAAGGCGGCCAUCUGGGACAACACUGACGCUGAAGCACGAAAGCGUGGGGAGCAAACAGGAUUAGAUACCCUGGUAGUCCACGCCCUAAACGAUGCGAACUGGAUGUUGGUCUCAACUCGGAGAUCAGUGUCGAAGCUAACGCGUUAAGUUCGCCGCCUGGGGAGUACGGUCGCAAGACUGAAACUCAAAGGAAUUGACGGAAUCACUA
rnacentral:rRNA from 1 species